rnacentral:lncRNA from 1 species
GUUUUCAUUUGAGUAAAUGUUGGAUAAAAACAUAUAAUUUUUUAUGUGCUUGCAUCUACUCUUCUCAGGUCAGAGCGUAAUCGAAAACAUUGUUUCAAAAGCUUGUAUAGAAAGUAAAAAUGGGGCCAUAUGGUUUUUCAAAUCGAUUGAAUUGAUGUUUCAAUGAUCAUUGUGGCUGCCUUUCCUGGAGGAAUCUGGGAUUCUUCGCUUGCUGAUGUAUAGUUAUUAACAUUUGCCAUCUUAUCUUGG